rnacentral:rRNA from 1 species
ACCGUAUAGGGGAGCCGCAGGGAAACCGAGUCUUAACUGGGCGUUAAGUUGCAGGGUAUAGACCCGAAACCCGGUGAUCUAGCCAUGGGCAGGUUGAAGGUUGGGUAACACUAACUGGAGGACCGAACCGACUAAUGUUGAAAAAUUAGCGGAUGACUUGUGGCUGGGGGUGAAAGGCCAAUCAAACCGGGAGAUAGCUGGUUCUCCCCGAAAGCUAUUUAGGUAGCGCCUCGUGAACUCAUCUUCGGGGGUAGAGCACUGUUUCGGCUAGGGGGUCAUCCCGACUUACCAACCCGAUGCAAACUACGAAUACCGAAGAAUGUUAUCACGGGAGACACACGGCGGGUGCUAACGUCCGUCGUGAAGAGGGAAACAACCCAGACCGCCAGCUAAGGUCCCAAAGUCAUGGUUAAGUGGGAAACGAUGUGGGAAGGCACAGACAGCCAGGAUGUUGGCUUAGAAGCAGCCAUCAUUUAAAGAAAGCGUAAUAGCUCACUGGUCGAGUCGGCCUGCGCGGAAGAUGUAACGGGGCUAAACCAUGCACCGAAGCUGCGGCAGCGACACUAUGUGUUGUUGGGUAGGGGAGCGUUCUGUAAGCCUGCGAAGGUGUGCUGUGAGGCAUGCUGGAGGUAUCAGAAGUGCGAAUGCUGACAUAAGUAACGAUAAAGCGGGUGAAAAGCCCGCUCGCCGGAAGACCAAGGGUUCCUGUCCAACGUUAAUCGGGGCAGGGUGAGUCGACCCCUAAGGCGAGGCCGAAAGGCGUAGUCGAUGGGAAACAGGUUAAUAUUCCUGUACUUGGUGUUACUGCGAAGGGGGGACGGAGAAGGCUAUGUUAGCCGGGCGACGGUUGUC